AAACCUUUUCUGAUUUUUCCUUGCAUUCAAAUAAUUUAGCACGGAAUUAUGCAGAUUUUAAUUUUCCUUUUUUCUCUCCAUCUCCACAAUCAAUCCCCCAAUGAAUCUCAGAUAGUCUUAAAUCAACGUUAUUGCGUGGAUUCAAUGUGGUGGGAGCUUUGUAUGUUUGUGAUUCAUUGUUUGAAGAAAAUGCAAAAAAGGCUGUUCAUGCUUGUCAAAAGAUAAAGCAUCUUCUUGGGUAUGAUGAUGAUGAGGUCGACCAUGACAUUAUUGGUGCUUCUGUUGACCCAGAGACUACAUCAGAUAUUCACUUUUUUGCAUCUCAAUCUGGAAAGAAAUCUUGUGUGGAGCUCAUUACUGCAGUUCAUUACGAAGAUGACCCUGAAGAGUUAGUUUGGAAGAAUGGAUGCCUUCUUCGAUGUCAAAUGGAGUUCAAGAUGCCUGUUUAUAUGCCCAUUGAUGGAAAAAGAGGUAAUUGAUUUUUUCACCUGUUCCUUGAUUGGUUUCCUUCAAGAUAUUUGCUUAAUUACUUCAUGUGUACAAUUGUACAAGUCAUACAUUUUGCUGGUUUUCGUAAGUGAGUUAUUUUUAAUUCUUUCAGUUUAUGUUUUGUUCUUGUUUAUAUAAUUCAGAAAGUUUGUAAUGCCAAUGACAACCAUAAUUUGGAAGGCUAGAUGUUUUAUUUUAUAUUGCUAUAACUUUCGAAUUUGGUGGUUAAUUCAUUUCUUUCUUAUUACCGCACAAUCACUUGUUUUUUCUUGUAAUCCUAUUUAAGAAUUGCCUGUUUACUACUCUAAUGCUUGAUUUUUUUAUUCCAUUAAUAUGUGCCAGAUGUUGAGAUGCUUGCUUCUGCAACUGAUGCUGCUAUCAGUAAACUUCGUGAUCCCAAAGUUGUAUACUUAGUUGAAGGCACAGAUAUGACUCAUCAGUCCAUCGUUUUACGUGGAGCAGAAUUAAGCUCCAUAUCAGACCAUAGGCCUGCAUCUCAAGAACUUGGGAAAAUUAACUUACUUUGUUCAUAUUUCUCAAAAUCAAAGUUCUCUCCAUUGUUUACCGCUAAUAAGGUUAGUUAAAUUUAUGAAAGAAGUUUAUUUUCAUCAACAACAAGUUUUCUUUAUUAAAACAUUGCCAUUUAAAAUUUGUUUCUCGUCUAUGUUCCGAGCACAGAAUCUGUUUAUAUUUAUUUUUCUCAAAGUAAUUUUUGUUAGAACGCAGAUGUUAUCUCAGUAAUAGUCUUCUUUAGUCAUUUGGGAAAUGCUACAAGUGCAUGUGCUCCCACUGCAGAGUAUACCCCAGGUAGUGUUUUUCUCAAUUAUCCAUGCUUUCAUCCUGUAAUCUUGUGUUUUUUUGUUGUUGAUUGGUGAUACAAAUUAUUCUUUCCAGCCCCGGAAUCAGUCAAACUUAAUGUUUUUGACUUCAAGGUGGAUGUUCUUUGCUAUGCUUCAAAAGAUUUUCCAGUUUGUUCUGCUGUUUCUAGAUUGGUUAUUCCAGGAAUCUCUAAUCAGUUAGCAGUAUUGAACAACACUAUCAGUCAAAACAUUUCAUCACAAAAAUCUCGGGUAUAGUGAUUGAUGAUCUCUAUCUUCUGAUUAUAUUAAUUCCUUGAGAAUGCAUGUAUCACCUUCUCCCUUCGCGAUCCUUAUAAAGCUCUUCAUUAUUUUCAUUUCUGGCAUGUUUGUCGAGAAUGCUCAACUUUCUCAACAAAUACAAUGACAUACAGGAUACUUUUAUUUGUUUUUCCUACUGUUUGGAGUUUGCAUAUUUCUCAAAAUAAUCAUUUGAUCAUUGUUUUCUUCAUAAAUUAAUUGUUCUUUUCAUUAUUAACCAUAUAAUCUGACUUUGCAUUAAUUUAAUUUUAUUAAGAAAUUUGUGAAUUAACAGCUCUGUCCAUUUCAUUUUUGUCCUCCGGGAAUUCUACAUCCAAUUACUUGCAUAUAUGAUUUAGCAUAUGGAGAAUCUGAACAAACACAAGGUAUGAUUUGCAGUUCCUUAUAUUAGUCAUACGUCCAUACUUGCAGAGUUGUAGUGUACAAUUGAUAGCAAAUAUUUGUAUUUUUGCAGUUAAUAUUAGAAGAUCUUUACAUUUGAGACUUGGAUUACCUUUAGAUCGUCCUCUUUUGCUUCUUACCAAUUCAAUAGCUUUUAGUCAUGGCGAUAUUGGUGUUAGCAAACCACAAAGAUCUGGUAUUUUUUCUUUUUCUUUCAGAAAGAUCUUACCAAUUUGGUAGGUUUUUUAUCGAAUAAACUUUUGAAUAUGUUUUUCCAAAGCUGUGAGGAAUUAAAAUAUUUUUUACAUGUAAAAUCCAGGUGUUAUCAAAGAUGUUCAUCAUGAUAUUUCAAAAAGUGGUGGUAAGUUUCUCUGGAUGCAAUUGUCUCAAUUGUUCCUUUAGCUUUUAUCAAAUUAUCACUUGUCUUAUUUGGUCAUCGGUGAAUGUCUUUAUUGGCUUUUUAGUUUCUGGAGGACUUGCUUCAUUGGUCGAUGGUUCUUAUGAGUACUAUCAUUAUCUACAGGAUGGUUUUGAUGAUAGCGUAUGUGUUUCUACUUUCUAUCUUCACAUCUUAAUAACGAUAACAGUAUUUUUAGAUUAAGAAAAAAUCUAUUGAAAGAACAGUAAGAAGCUAGAAAAUCGAAGAAAUCACAAUUCCUAUAAUAUCAGGGUGUAUUUUUCUUCUCAGCCAUUAAAAAUAGUGAAAAAUAAUAUCAAUAAUAUUAAUGUUAAAAAACAUGAAUCUUAGAGACGAGGAGCACAUAACUUCAAUUCAAACUUAAUUUAUGUUUAAUUGUUUAUACUACUUUCCAGGGAUGGGGGUGUGCUUACCGAUCUCUUCAAACCAUAAUAUCAUGGUUUAUACUUCAACAUUACACGUCCAUUGAAGUCCCUUCACAUAGGUACGCAUAACUCUGUUAUAAUCUUUACUUUUUUGAUAAAGGAGAGAUCAUAAUUCAUAAAUGAGAUCGAAAAAUUCAUUUGAACUUGAAUUACCCAAUCAAAGGAUUUUAAAAGAUCCAACUGAAUAUUAAUUUAGGUCAACUUUUAUUAACAGGCUGUGUAUUUUAGAAUUAACUUGAAUAUGACUUUGAAGAUUCAAUGCUGCCACUGCAUGUAUGUCUGACUGUAUUUUAUUUUUCAGGGAAAUUCAGCAGGCACUGGUUGAUAUUGGUGAUAAAGAGCCUUAUUUUGUAGGAUCUCGUGAAUGGAUUGGGGCCAUUGAAUUGAGCUUUGUCCUUGAUAAACUUCUUGGUGUAAUUGAUGCUUUCACUUUUUAUUUAUAAUUAAAUAGAUGGAUAAAUAAGUACAACCUUCACUUAAUUAAUAAUGGUGAUAAACGUGUAGGAGAUUUCCCUAAGACACCUAUAUGUUUUAUUUAUUUAUGAUUGAACAUCUUUGCCUAAGCACGCAUUCUACUAUUCUCUUAGCCUUUUGUUGUUUCCAAUAGGUUAGUUGCAAGAUUAUUAAUGUGCGAUCUGGAGCGGAGCUUCCAGAGAAGUGUCGAGAACUUUCCAUGCAUUUUGAGACCCAAGGAACACCUAUUAUGAUCGGUUAGUAUUUUCUAUUUGAAACAUCUUCUGCUGGUAUUUGAAUGACUGUUAUAUGUUCAUUUCUUAAAAACUUGCCAGUAAGAUUUUAAUUAAACUCUUAGUUUGGUCAGAUUUACGUAUUCCAAUUUCCAAACAAUUUUUACAAUAAUGGAUUUGAAACCAUACAACCAACGCCAGGAAGGUGUAUGGUUUAUAUUAGGAUAGAUGUAGUCUAAAAAAAAUUCAUUAAAUUUCACAUACAAGAUGUAUUCAAUCUAUGUAAAUACAGCACAACCAUUUCUUUUAUAUUCGUAUGACCUUGAAUCCCGGCUUUUGUAAACAGGUGGUGGUGUUCUAGCUUACACACUUCUGGGUGUUGAUUACAAUGAAGUUAAUGGUGACUGUGCAUUCCUUAUUCUGGAUCCUCACUACACAAGCAACGAUGAUCGCAAGAAGAUAGCAAACGGUGGAUGGUGUGGGUGGAAGAAGCCUGUGGAUAACAAAGGCAAGCAUUUCUUCUUACAUGACAAAUUCUAUAAUCUUCUUCUCCCACAAAGACCCAACAUUGUAUGAUCUUAUCUAAAGUCUAAACCAUGUAUUAGAUACAGAUAUGUAAUUUACAAGUUAUAAUAUACUGCAAUUAAAAUCCAUUUUGCAAAAUAUUUCAAAGUUAAUAUUUAUUGGUAUCCUUGGAUUCCAACAGGAUUGUGAUGUUUUCCAAUCUUUAAUAUGAUUAUGUGGAGGUUUGAACCUCUAAAAACUCGAUCUUUUUGAUAUAUUUUUUUAACUCUCCACACAAUCUGAUUGUCAUUCUUUAUGAUAGACACAUGGUGAUUACCUCAAUUGGUUAUAUGAAUUUUUAUGGUUAGUUCAUAGGUACAUAAAAAGUAAUGUUCACUAGUAUAGUCGUCGUUAGGGUGUCAAACGAGCCGAGCUUUGAGUUGUAAAGCUAAGCUUGGACUCGUCUCAUUAAGGUUGUAGCCAUUAGCCAAGCUCGGCUUUAGAAGCUAGUUCAAGCCUAAAGAGUCGAGCUAAACUUGAUACCCUAGUCGCCAUAUAGAGGAGGAAGGUCAUCACUUGUUGGAAAGAGCUGAUGUAAAACCUUGGAACCAUGUUUUCUUCACCAAAGUUGUUUUAAACUUGGUGAAGUAAAUAAUAGUACAGAAGAGAAUUGACCCCAUCCUAUUGAUUAUAGGCUAUACGCCUAUACUCCUACUGCCAACUGACAAGUUGUUUUAAGCACAGGAAGAUUAAUUCAACUGGUCACGAUAACUAUUAAGGUUGUUGAGAGUUUUGGUUUUAUUUUCACUGUGUACAUAAUUUUCAUUACGUUGUUUUAGUAUGUCAUCUAGAGAGAUAAGUAGUAAAAGAGAAUUGGGCCCAGCCCAUUGGAUAUUGGACUGACACUUUAUGAGUACAUGACCUCAGCCUCACUUAUUAUUGGAUAACAACGCAAUCCAAGCUUCAGAUAAACACCAAUGCCAUCUCGACACGUGUCAAAAGAUAGAGUAGAAAUUUUACGUUCUCAAACAUCUACAGUCCUACCUGUGAUCGUUUUUCCCGUCAUCGGUGUCACUAAGUUGUACUGGUUGACUGUGAAGUCGCUGUCGGUGAUCUGUCAUCUUUGUUGACGAAUAUGAUCCCAAGAUCAAGGAAAAGAAGACGGAGUAAGAUCCGUAAACCGAAAUUCCUCAGUCUUCGCCAAAUGACGACGACCACCGACGGCCACCAUGAUGACUGCAGCGAGAAAACCAAGUUUGAGCAACUUGACCUCUUUCCUUUGCACCCUGAACUCACGCUGGAGGAGAAGGAAAAGGUUGAAGAAGAUGCCGGUGAUGAUGAUGAUACUCCAAGUAGUAACUUCUUCUACUCCGACGUCGGUGCCGGUGCGACUCCUCUCACCUCACUUCUUGGAGAACCCGUCGUUAAUGCCAUGUCGGCGAUGAAAGAAGAAGAAGAAGAGGACGAGGAGGAAAGAUUGGAUAUUGGGUUUUUUGGCGAUGGUCGGAGAGGAAGGAGAGGGAUGCUUUGUUUAAAGCUUGAUUACGAGAAAAUUCUCAAUGCAUGGUCGGAAAAAGGAUCGCUUUACAUUCACGACGAUGACUAUGAGUCUCAGAUCGUUCCACAGCUCCAUCCGAUAGCUUCUGUAAGAUUAUUCUCUUUUUUGUAAAAAAAAUCCUAUAAUUAAUCAAAAAAAGAAGCAAAAAAUCCCAACUGUGCAUAGGAACAUACAUGCUGGACUGCCCCGGAGAAUGGCGCCUGUGACGGCGGCGAAAGAGUGGAGAUUGGUGGUCGGAAAGAAAGAGUGUUACGGUACAAGGAGAAGCGACGGUUGAGAUUAUUCUCCAAUAGAAUCCGAUACCAAGUCAGGAAGAUUAAUGCCGAGAAGCGACCCAGAAUCAAGGUAAUCGAAUUCUGAUGAUACCUCAAAUACUGGAUCGAUCCAAGCCCAAUCUUUGGUUCGGAUACCAUUGGGCCUUAUCUUGGGAUGGACCGAAGAUUGGGCUUGGAUCCAACAAAUUUCAUUUCAAAUUCUGGUAUCCGAAUUGGAAUAUUGUUGGAUUGAUUGGCUUGUUUUUGUUUGCAGGGUAGGUUUGUGAAGAGAGUUGACCGUGUUUGACUUUAUAGAUUUCGUUGACUUUCAAUUUCACUAAAAAAAAAUUACAUUCAUUUUAAUGAUGUAAAAUUGUAAAUGAGUCCAUGAUUUCUAUCCAUUGGCCCAAUUAAUUAUUCUCCAAAGAUGGGCUCGAAUUUGGGUCAUAAGUUUCUUAAUGAUAGAUUUAUCUCACAUUCACAGUCUCACCCAUCAAUUAGUUAAACAAACCGAAACUUAAAUUGGAUUCGAUUAGUUAUAUAAAUCGAAUUCAAGCAUCAUUUUAUAUUUAUACUGGCGCCGGUUUUGGUACGACCAGAUUGGGUGCGUCUAAUUCAUCUUAAUUGUCCAAAAGACAUAUAUAUAUAUAUAAGGUGCAUUUCAGGUGUGUCAAAAAUUGGGUGUGUUAAAUGCGUCAACAACGUAAUACGGUAUGUGACAUACAAUUCGAGGAUAAUGUAACAUACAACGUCGUCGUACAGAGUGAAGUUGUUGAUGAAUAAUGAAAUGUGAGACGGAAGAUUAAGAUCUAACGACGUACAACGAUUUGACACAUGGAGUGUUUGACACACCUGAAACUCAACCUAUAUAUAUACAACCAGCAUCACCUGCGAACGUCCGCAGGUGAUGCUGGUUGCGGAUGGGCUACCACAUCCGUCAGAUUUUAAAUACGACGGAAUCGCGGGACUUCCGCGAUUCCGCAACUGCAGUUCAGAUUCCGCAGUUCCGCAAAAUCAGAACUGCAGUUGCCGCAAUUAAUCACAAAUAAACCGCGACUGCAGUUCAGAUUUUUCGAUCCUCAACUACAUCCGGCAACCGUAGCGAGCUUCCACUGCGGACGUUCGUAGUGGAAGCGCGCACUAUAUAUAUAUAUUGGUUCUUAUAUUUUGAUGAUACUCUCGGCCACUGGAGUGGCCCAACAGGAGCAUCAAAGGACCAAGUCCAUCGGAGGGAGUACUAAUUAAACCCCCGGUCCGUUAGAGCGGCCUGGUAAUAUCCCCAGGUCCGUUUGGCAAAAUCCCGACCCGACUCGAACUGACCUAGCCCGAGGGGUAAAAAAAGGUUCAUAAAUACUAAUCUCCUAAAAUGAGAAAGAAAACGUUAUCCUUGACACGUGUACUAUACUAUAGAGAGAAAGUGAUUAAACCUUAAUUCGAUCGUGUAAGUCCAUCUCUGACUAUACACUAUCAUAUUUGUUGAAUAAAGACACAAAAUUUGGUCUGAACGUUCCAUGUUUUCAUGAUUCCAUCUAAUGAUGCACCCAAUCUGACCGUUGAUUUUAGGUGAAGAUCAAUAUUAAAAGUUCUCACAAAUAAACUUGGGUUUUGAUUCAGACUUUUUUUUUUGAAAUAAUUAAAUUUCAUUAAAAAAUAAAACUAAUGUCCAGUUUAUAGAGUAUAGAAAUAAAAACGGAAGUAAAAAGAAAUAAACAAUAAGCUCAUUGACUCUCUUCCAUUAACUAUAUAGUCUAGUUAUACAGUAAUUAGAUACGUUGUCUCAAUAAGUUGAUUUAAACUUGGGUUUAUGAAUAUAACCAGCCUGAACCCAACCCAACCCGUCAACUCCGUGCUCGAGGAUUCAAGGUGGGUUCAGGUCGAUUCGAACCCAUCAUGUCCCCACAAUCCCACUAACCCACUAACCCACUAACCCAAUGCUCUAAAUGUCAAUGUAUUAUUAUUAUACAUAAUUUUGUAUACAAUGUGACCCCUAAAACUUUCAAAGGCUAACUAAUUAAUAACUAUCAGCAACUAAUUUUUAAUGAUAAAAAAACACAUGGCAUACACAUGAAAGACACUUUGCUUACGUGGCACAUCGACACAAGUACAAAACCGAAUCUGUGUUCCCAAUUUUGACUACGUGUGAAGUUGACUAAAACAUUGCACACACCAAGCACAAGCUAGCUUCGAAAGAGCAUGAGCUUGGUAGCGCAUACAUGAGGUCAACAUAUGUGGUUAGAAAUCAACAUGAUAUGCACAUUGCUCAAAUUCAUGCACAUACAAUUAAGACUAAUUAAUUACAAUUUUAUCUUCCGCUCGGCUCCGACCCUGGCCGUCCGAGCUUCAAUUCGCUAUAUAUAACGAAUGCACUCUCAUCAAUUUAUAUAUACAUUCUUCAGUAUGACUUCAAUCAUAACUUCUUCCAUUAUCGCCACCGCUUUCUUCUUGUUCGUCUUCUGUAAUGUGACCACGGCGCAGGAAGUGGUCGAUGAGUGUAAGCCAGUGGAAGGAAGUUGCUACAAUAAAUCCAAGGCUCUUGAGUUAAAGAUAAUUGCUAUCUUUGCAAUUUUGGUCACCAGUGUGAUUGGCGUGGUGCUCCCAUUGCUCUCUCGCUCCAUUCCUGCUCUUCGCCCAGAACGUAAAUUCUUUGUGCUUAUCAAGGCUUUCGCUUCUGGCGUCAUCCUUGCCACUGGUUACAUGCACCUCCUUCCAGACUCCUAUGAAAGCCUCAAUUCACCUUGCUUGCCGGAGAAUCCUUGGAGAAAGUUCCCUUUCACGGCCUUCAUCGUGAUGAUCUCAGCUGUUUUCACUCUUAUGGUUGAUUCCUUUAUGUUGACUUUCUUCAAUAGAAAGAAAGGUCAAUGCAGACACAAAUCUUCGGACGAGGAGGAGCCACCUUCUGUUCCGGUCCAUCAUUCCCACGGUGGUAUCCCCAUCGCUUAUAUCUCCAACGACGGAGUUGACAAAGGAAUAUCGCUGAAGCGUAAUAGAAUUAUCGCUCAAGUGAGUCGUGAAAUUCAUAAUCCGUAAUUAGUUUUAAUCAAUCAGAGUUGAUAUAUCUAUAUGUGUGCAUCAUGUAGGUGUUGGAAAUUGGGAUUGUGCUUCACUCAAUUGUGAUAGGAUUGUCUUUAGGUGCAUCGGAGAAUCCGUGCACGAUUAAACCUCUUAUCGCCGCCCUCUGCUUCCACCAAAUGUUCGAAGGAAUGGGACUUGGAGGUUGCAUUCUCGUCGCGGAAUAUAACUUGAGAAUAAAAGCAACUAUGGUGUUUUUCUUUUCGAUGACAACACCCUUCGGCAUUGUCCUUGGGAUCGCUUUAUCCAAAGUAUACGAAGACAACAGUCCCACGGCACUCAUCGUCAUCGGAUUGCUAAAUGCAGCGUCCACCGGACUUCUCAACUACAUGGCUUUGGUUGAUCUUCUUGCCGCCGACUUCAUGGGACCUAGACUACAGGCAGACGCAAAACUUCAGUCUUGGGCUUAUGUUGCUGUGUUUUUGGGUCUUGGGGGAAUGUCUAUCAUUGCAUUGUGGGCUUGAUUAAAUAAAAGCCCACACCGGCUCAUUUACGUAUUUUCUAAAAAAAAAUAGAGUUAUCAUUCUAUUGAUCCAUCCAUCAUCCACACCUUCUCUUAAGCAACAUUGUUUGACUCCAACCUCCCACUGAUCUCUUCCUCAGUGUGUGUAUUCGAUCACGUCGUUCUUCGAUGAGUUCCUCUCUAACUCCUUGCAUUCAAAGAGAAUAACAUAAACAAAAACAGCUUAAAUUUGAUGGUAUGUUUGUUUUAAAUUACAAAUUUACAAAAGAAUUUAGAUUUAAGGUUUAGGCCAGUUUCGUCGACCACCAUAUUCAUUUAUCGUUCAAUAAUAGCAGACUAUCGAAUUGCUUGCUGUGUCUGGAGAAGUUUUCCACAGAAAUCCAGAUCAAAGUUUUGGCUGGGAGGAUCACCAAUGCACUCAAAAACAGCAUCAGCAUUCAAAAAAUCCUCCUCUGAUGUAUAACUGUGAUGAAAACAACAAAAUGUGUUAUCUCUAUUUGUGUUUUUUUAGCUUUAUAUUCAGAUCAAUUUGAUAGUUCUUGCAUGUUUACCCGCUUUUUGUCACGAUACAUUUCAUUCCGGCGGCUUUUGCAGCAGCUAGACCGAUGGCACUGUCUUCUAUGACAACGCAACUGGUAAGAGGAUGGAAACAACAGUGACAAACAUGUAAUAUCUGGAUGAAGUGUGUGAGCUUUUUUUAAUUAUUACAACGAUGGAAGAAUAAAAUCUCUGGAUAACAACAGAACCAUUCUAAUAUAUUAGUAGGAUUUGAACUCAUGACAUCAUAAACUUUAUACGACUGCUAAGGAAAUUGUGUGUACCUCGAUGGGUCGACUUCUAGAGUGUUGGCUGCUAAUAUGUAGAUUGCCUGUGACGAGAAGAAGAUAUGAGGUAAAAAUGUGGUAAAUGCCUUGAUAAUGAGAUGAUUCAAGAGUUUACAGGAUUGGGUUUUUUAAGAGGAACCACAUCUCCUGCAAAUAUGGUAAUCUUCUCAGCUCGAUUGGGUCCGAGCAAGAAAGAAACUAUGGCGGAAACCUGUAUAAAAUAGAAACAGAUAGUGUUGAUCUCAGAUUCACCAUUAAUUGUCACUUAAUAGUUAAUAUCUAUGUUUUCUGCAUCUCCAAUCUCCAUUGUAUUUUUCAAAAACUUACUGCUUUUUCAUUUGAAGUGCUACAAACUGCAACUUUGACACCCACUGACAAUGCUUCGUCGAUCAAUCUGACCAAAGAAAAUCACGCAAUAAUGUUUUGAUGAUAAAAUGUAGGCGAAAGUAAAAUCUGGUAUGAUCUAUCAAGUAUCAAUAUCAUCCAUUCAUUCAUUCCUAUGAUAUAUUUAUUGUACCUUGCAACGCCUGACCGGAGGGGAAGAAGUUUCUUCUCGAUGAGAGCCAUGAACAACUCAGUCUUCCUUUUGUGAAGUGAUGCGAUGAAUAUCUUCCUCUCGCCGUCCGUGCUUGGGGCUUUUUCCGGCCAACCAGUUUUGUUAAAAUAAGCCGUCAUUCUAUAAAGGUGCAGAAUUGGCAAAAUCUCAAACAAACAAAAUUUUGUUGAAAAUCAGAAAUAAAAACAGAUGUUAUCAUGUUUGAUCAAGAUUUAGAAAUCACAAAAAUCUUCAAUGUUCUUUGAUGAUUUUAUCACAAUUUCCCCUUUUUUUCUUCCUUUGUUAGAUCAAAUCAUCAAACAACCGAAAGUAAAUGUAACAAUAAAAAAAACAUCACGGCUUAGGGUUUUGGGUUACCUUUACCUUUCCUUUCCACCACCAACCUUCAACAAUUCACCAUACAAUUCCACAUCCCAAUUUAUACCCAAAUCUUUCUGCAACAUCAAAGCCUAAUUAAUUCCCCCAAUCCUCAAUUCAAUAAGAAAAACACAAAAUUAACAUCAAUACCUCCGUGAAUGUGUCAUUGAAGGAAAUCCGAUGUCCGUCCUUCUCCGUAUCAACAAGCACGCCGUCGCAAUCAAAGAGAAGCGCACUAGGAAGACCACUCGAACUGGAAUCAGAAGAAGCGGAGAUGACAGCCAUGGUGCACCCUUUCCGACGAUUACUCUUACCAAUUGUGGUAGCAGCAAUACUCAAUGUCCUGGUUGAAAAAACACUCCCGGAGGAGAAUAAACGUGACGGAGUUCUCAGAAGUGAAGUCGAUGGAUAUGGGAAGAUGCUUCUCCUCUCCGGAACAAUCGAAUUGGGAACCACAACCACUACACCAGAAGCCAUUGCUCUCCUAGAUUCUACUCUGUAAUAAAAAAAUGAUUUUUUUUGUCUACUAGUGUUUGAAUAAAUUAAUGGAUAAAAUAACCGAUUAUAAAAUAAACGGAUACAAAACACAUAACUGCUAACUGGAUUCACACCACUAUCAUUUCCAUGGAAGUUUAUAUGUAAAAUAUUUCCAUCACUUUAUUGACAGCAAAAGAAAUCAAUACAAAUGAAACAUGAAAAGUUGAAAUGUUAAUUUUUAUCUUAAUCACAGAUUUUUGUUUGGUGAUAUACCCAUUUAAAUAUUUCAUAAGGUAACACUGUGUCUGUGCCAUAGUGGAGAAUUGAAUCAUGAACCUCAGAUAUCAUUAUCUGCAUCCUUUAUCUGCAUGGUAUCAUCAAUUUUCUUCAGUGUCUUGAUGUAGUUCUUUAUAAGAGAAUACCUGUUAGUUCUUCAUAAGAUGGUAGAAGUAAUCUCAUGAGUAGAUUCCAAUUUUAUGCAACUCAUCAAAAAUUAUCCUGAUAACAGAACUGAAGAAUUGGCUGAUGUAAUUUUCAUGGAAGAGCUGAAGAAGUUUAUUUCAUCUGUUAAAUAUUCAGAUCAGAGGUGACAACAUUCACCAAUUGAAAACUCAAAUAUUACAAACAUUACCAGAUUGUCUGACACCAUAGCCAUUUCUUGUCAAGCUUUCGCGAAACAUGUCUGUUAUUCUGUCAAUCCGAUGUGUUAAAAAUAAAGACAGUGUCGCUUGAUCAAUUCUUUUAUCCACUGACUGGUGUCAACAAAUCCUCUUCUUUCAGCCUCGGACAACAGAAGAUCCAAGGUUUUCUUCUCUUUAGGAAAUAUAUCACGACUCACCAUCUCCUCAAUCAGAAGGAAAGCACCCUCAACUUUACCAACUUUACAGAACCCAUGAAUUAGUUGAGAAUAUGUGUCGGAAUCAAGAAAGAGAUGAUGCUUGUUAACGAUGCCAUCCAACAGAGAAAUCAGGAUUUUGUCUGCAUUCCCCAACCUUAAGAUUAGUUUAAAAAGUGGUCCGAAAGUAUGAAGAUUUGGCUUCAAAGCUGGAUUCUUCUCCUCUUCCAUCUUCCUCAAAAUAUUUAAAGCUUCCCGACCUUGUGAAUUUUGGCAAUAAACUGCAAUCAUGGUGUUGUAGGUCGUAAUGUCUGGUAAUACUCCAUUUUCACGCAUCUCAACAUUGAAAAUACGGCGUGCUUCAUGAAUCUCACCUAUUCUACCUAAUAUACUGAUCAGAGAAUUGAAGAAGAAUAUGUCAGGCUUGCAUUCUGUACUUUUCAUCUUAUCAAUUAUCUUAAAUAUGGGUUCAAUCUUCCCCAACCGACCUAAAGAAGUAAUUACACUGGUAUAUGUAGUUGUAUUUGGCGGACAACCCACUGAUAUCAUCUCAUCCAUGAGCUCAAAAACUUUACAAAAGUUAGAUAGAUCACAAUGUGCACGAAGAAUAUUGGAGUAGGUAACAACAGAAGGAACAAUUCCAUUUUGCUUCAUCUCAACGAUUGCUUUUUCGGCGUCAUCAAUUCUACGUAAUAAACACCAACCGUGAACAAAGAUGUUAAAAGUGCGACAAUCCGGAACAAAAUCAGAGCGGUAUUGUAAAAAGACUUGUCGGGCAACCUCGACUUUCUUUUCUUUACAAAGUGUGUCAAGAAGAAUGUUGAUGGUCUCAGUAUCCUUCGUCAAGCCCAAGGAUUCAAUGUCAUCAAAAGUUCUGAUGGCUUCUUGCCAUCUUCCGGCGGCGACGAGCCUUCUCAACACUUUGGAAAUGGUCUGUAGAGUGAUAAAGCCUUUGUUGUUCAUAUCAUGAACUAACACCCACAUUGUGUACAUUUGUUUCGACUUCCCUAAUACAUCAACCAUUUUGGUGUAUGCAUCAGAACGGUGUUUGUAACCUUGCUGAAGAUCUGCCCACUGAAAGAAACCCAAUGCAGAUUUCCAAUCAUCUCCAAAUCUCUGUAGCAUAUCGACAACUAUGUUUUCUGACAACUGGAUUCUUUCACCAGAGAGAUUUUUUUGAAGAGACUUGACGACAUCCUCAACCCUACCCCAACGAACAGCAUAAGCAGUAUUCAUGAUUCGGUGUGAAAGCGCUUCAUUAAAAACAUCAGACCUACACACGUCAAUCCGUUCAUUCAAUUUAAUCACACAUAUUGAAAUGGAAUGAAUGGUCAUUCAAUCUAAAAGGGAUGAUUUGAUUUUUAAAUACCUUUUGUCAUCCCAUGUAAUUCCAGGGAUUAACCAUCUGGUUCUUCUGACUCUUCCAACCCCUAAACAUAAAACCAUCAUCAGAAUAAUUAACAGACAACAUCUACAACAAUUAAAUCUAUCAACACAUGAUCUUCUCAAACCAUAAAAAAAAACAGUUUUUUCCCAAAUCUCAAUCAAAUGUCCGCAGCUUUAGAGUCCUCACCGUUAAGUCCAGUCUUGAUCUUACCAGCCGCAGCUUUAGCGUUUCACAAGAAGAAGAAGAACACAUCAUUAGAGACUGAACCCAAAAUCCGAAACAUCGAUAUCAGAAGAAAGGUUUAGGGUUUUACCCAUCACCACUCCUUGGAUGAUUUCUGUGAUACGAUUCCGAUAUAUAGACAAUCACCGAUCAAAUGCAGCAGACUUCACUCCGAUUCUCUGAGAAUGAAUGACGAUUCAACGGUAAUCCCAAGCUCAGACUGGAUCGCCGUUUCAUGACAGAAAUUCUCAACCACUCGCCGGUGGAAUCAUUUGAUUACAUAUUUGCAUAAUUACAUCCCAUAAAAUUCAAAAUUCAUACUGGGUCCAUUUAUAUAACCCUUCCAUUUCAUUCAAUAGAAGCGGGGCCUUUUCAUAAAAGACCCAUUAAUUUAAUUAAAAUUACAUUAGGUUGUUAGAGAUAAAUGGAGCGGGUAAUGGAGCGGCUAACAGAAUCCACUAAUAGUAAAUAAAAUCACGAUCGUGGUGGACCGGUCGUGUUCUGACAGGUCGUGGUGGACUUCUUGUACUAGAUUUCGACAAAGAUCUUAAUCGAUGUGGAUUGGUAAAGUCAAAGUCAACGUCAUAGCUUCCUUGAAAUCAAUCCUUCUUCUCUUUCUACCCCUCUCAUUUCUCCUCCUCCUCCUUUUCUUCCUCCACCCUCGACCGACGAUCGAUAAGCAGCGGCCCGCCGGAAUCCUCAUACGUCCGGGAUACGAAAACUACGACCAAUACAUAUCCAAGCAACUCAACAAAACUCUGAAUUCCCGUCUCCGUCGCAUUUGGACGACCCGCGAUUGGGACCGUAAAAUUCGUGUAUUCACAUCUUUUUUCAACAAUCUCGUCUCCAACGAGUUCCUCUCAAAUUCCUCUCGCUCGCUCUGCAUUGGAGCUCGCGUUGGGCAAGAAGUCGUCGCGUUGCGUGGAAUUGGGGUCAGCGACGCGGUGGGGAUGGAUCUUGUUCCAUACCCACCUUUGGUUGUUAAGGGCGAUUUUCAUAACCAACCAUUCUUGGAUGAGAGCUUCGAUUUUGAAUUCUCGAAUGUAUUUGACCACGCAUUGUACCCGGAGAAGUUCGUCGGAGAGGUGGAAAGGACGUUGAAGGUCGGAGGAGUUUGUGUUUUGCAUGUAGCUUUGAAGAGGAAAGGUGACAAGUACUCUGCUAAUGAUCUUUACAGUGUCGAUGCUUUGAUCAAGCUUUUUAGAGUUUCUACCGUCGCUCGAGUUACACAGAUUGAUGGAUUUGGGCUCGAUACCGAGGUGGUAUUGAGGAAGACGUCCGCCGCCAAAGAAAUAACAACAUAAAUAAAAACAACUUGUAUUAAUUGACAUGUAUGUACAUUUAUUUUGUAUUAUAAAGAGAAGUAAUUAUCAGAUGUGCCGAGAUCAAAAUACGUCAAAUUAAUUCUGUCCAUUAGAUCGACUUUUCGUCGUACAUGUGUUAGUGUUUUUUGCAGUACAUUAUUUUACGCCGUACAUGUAUUAGUGUCUUGUAUAAUAUAUUAUUUUAACCAUUGAAUUAAAUAUUAAUAAACACGAUUUGAUAAGGCACGACGACGCAUUCAAAGUACGACGCACCUGAAGCGCGCCUUAUAAAAGAGUUUAGAUUUUAACACAAGAAGAUCAAUUUACGUAUCACAGUAAUUUUCAAGGUUUUUGAAGAUCUAUGAUUAGGUUUAGGUCAAUUUCGUCAAAAAACAGGACGAGUCGAUCUGGAUAUCUGAUAAAAGGCCAGCGGAAUUCCCCCCAAUGUUUCAUUAAUGCAUACUCUUCCCAUCCGAAUUUUACCCGAAAAUAACGGAACAUCUGACCAUUACCUUUAGCCAAAUCAGAUUCGAAUCCUGGACUCUCAGAAACUUUAAAAACAUAGAUAUAAACAAAACGGGUAUGGACCAUGGAUCGAAAUAAACGGAUAUAACUGCUAACCGAUUAUAGAAUAGACGGAUCCCACUAAGAAGCAGUUUUUGAGAGUGGGAGGGAAAAAAACGGCCAGUGAUGACACGAUCAGUUUGUUAGAAGUUAGAAUUAUACUCCACUGUAUAAAUAGCCCGGCGCUAUAACAUAACUGAAAUCAUCAUUCAUCACAGUGAGAGAGAGAGAUCAGACGAGACCAAAUCCGAUCCGAUCAUCUAUCGCCAUGGUAAAUCCGAUCAAGCUUUCACUUCUCACAGCAUUUCUGUUUAUCAUUCUGCUUCGAAUCCCCGUUUCGGCUUUCCAGUACACCGUGAACGACGAAAACGGCUGGGUUGUUCCGAAUGUCGGAGAUGUAUUGGUUUACAAUCACUGGGCUUCACGAAAUCGGUUCCAGAUCGGUGACUCUAUUAGUAAGUUCUUCCUCGGUAACUGUUUCUUCUUUUGCUGUCUUCAUCUUCAGACUUCAGAUAUUGAACAUUUGAUUUGCAGGAUUCAUCUAUGAUAGAGAUUCGGUGUUGGAGGUUUCUGAAGAAGAGUACGAAGAAUGUUACUCUCUGAAACCGUUUAAUUUUUCAAACUCCGGUGAUUCUGUCUUUGUAUUGAAACGACCUGGUUCGUAUUUCUUCAUCAGCGGUGUUUCCACACAUUGCAAAAAAGGACAGAAGAUCAUCGUCAAGGUUCUAUCUACUCAUAUUAACCAUGCUCCGUUGGAAUCUCCAUCAGAUUCGCCGUCUUCGUUUCCGACAAAUCGAACUGACGCCACUCCUGCAUCUUCUCCUGCUACGACGAAGCCGAAGUCCAACGAUGCUGUUGCGAUUAACAUCUGCUUUGCAUUGUCGCCUCUUUGUGCGGUCGUUGUAUCUUUCUUCUUUUUUUGAUUGUUGUAGAAUCUAUUUUUGUUUGAUUGUUGAAUAAUCUUUUUUUUUAAACUUUCUUUCUUGAAAAUAAAACGAUUCUUAAAAAUCGAUUUUUUUUUUGUAUCAAUGGAUUAUGAAUGUUUCAAUUUAUAAAAGUUUUUCAGAGUUAAUAUUGGAUGGUUGAGAUUUAAAGUUAACUUGAUUCAAUGGUAGAUUGGUUUUUCAUUAUAAAUAUCAGGUGUGUUUUUUCUUGAGGGAGAAGAGAGUAGCUUUGGAGAUGGGGAAGAAGACGAAGAAACCCGGUAAAGGGAAGGAGAAGACGGAGAGGAAGACGGCAAAGGCCGAGGAGAAGAAGGCACGAAGAGAGAACAAGAAGAUUUCAGAGGAUGAUGACAUUGAUGCUAUUCUUGUAUAUCCUAACCUAUACCUUCAUUCAUUCUUUGUCGAUCGAGGGUUACUUAAACCCUACUUUGAUUUUAAUUUUCUUAGUUUUUUUGCUUGAAAUCUUGGUCUUUUUUUUGCCCAAUUGAAUUUGUGUCGAUGUUGAUGAUGCAUUUGACAUAUUUGAAAUCUUAGUUAUGUUUGUUUUGGGGGAGGUCAGAUGAACAUACAGAAAGAAGAGGCUAAGAAGAAGGAAGUUCACGUGGAAGAGAAUGUGCCUGCCCCUUCUCCUCGUUCAAACUGUUCGGUAUUUACGACUUCUCGAACAAUAAAAAAAUCCUUUCGAUUUCACAUUUCUAGACUUUUGAAUCUUCUUUUAUUGCCAUGAUUGAUUCAUUCACUACAGUUAAUAAUAAAUCCAUUGAAAGAGUCAGAGCUGAUAUUCUAUGGUGGUGAAUUCUACAAUGGAAAGAAGGUUUUUUUGUUGUCUCCAAAAGUACUAGCUAUUGUAUUUAUCUACCGUUGGAUGUUUAUUUGAAAUUUGUCUAUCUUGGUGUAGACGUAUGUUUAUGGUGAUCUCUAUCGUUAUGACAUCGAAAAGAAUGAAUGGAAGCAGAUUUCUAGUCCUAAUAGCCCACCUCCCCGCAGUGCACACCAAGCAGUUGCUUGGAAGGAUCAUCUAUAUAUGUUUGGUAAGUUAAGCUGUACUUGAAGUGCUAUUAUUUAAUGACAUGAACAUAUUAUUUAAUCAAAUUAAGUUGUAAUAUACAAAUAAAUACCACUAAGUGAAUUUUAAGAUGCUUAAUUACCCUUGAAAAUUUCUUAAGGUGUUUCCUUUUAAUCGUCUGUUUUUGAAUUUGAAUGUUAUCAAUUUCAGUAUUCUUUAUUUCUUUCUUUCAUCUGUUGUAUUAUAUUUUCUCUAUAGGAGGUGAAUUUACAUCCCCAAACCAAGAACGUUUUCAUCACUACAAGGUAUCUCUUUUUAAUAUUAUGUGGUAGCAACAUGAAUCAUUAAUUCUCAUUCUUAAUCAUCAUACUGUGUGAAAUUGGAAAUUGAAGAAAAUCUAUUUUAUGCAAUCAAUCAAUCAUUCAUAUAUAAAUAAUGUUAUGAAUCUUAUGAUCAAUGGCAACAUACCCAAAUUUACUAUAAAGAAUGUGCCAUAUUAUUCUUAACCAUUUUGACAGUUUAUGUUUUAUUUAAUACUGAAUUACUACUUUCAAAACAGCAUAUGCUUUUUUUUCUUGAUUGCAUAGGAUUUUUGGACACUGGAUCUUAAAACAAACCAAUGGGAACAACUACUUUUGAAAGGAUGUCCAACUGCACGCUCAGGACAUCGCAUGGUAUGUCUCUUUUUAUUUGCUACUUUAGUGCUUACACCAGUGGCUGGUACUUGCCUAUUCCAUAAUUCCCUUUUUACUUUCGUUUUUAUAAUAGUUGAUUGGAAAAUAAAUAAUGUUAAAUCUUACAUAGGUCAAACAUUCCUAAUUCACAUAGUAUAUUGAUGCAAUACAAAGUGGUCUUGGUUAUGCAUCCAAGGACUUAAUUGGAAAUGACCAAGUGGAAGGUAAUUGGCUUGACCAAGGUCAAGCCAAUUCAUAUCAUUUCUAGGGAAUAUUUAACUCACAUUAUUGGGUUGCUCAUUACCAAUAAUGUGAAUAUAAAUACAAUGGGCCCUUGAGAGGAAGAUCAGUUUAGAAUAUUGUGCAAUCAAGGUAUUACGUUAAUUAAUGAAAUAUUGCAAAAUCAAGUAGAGAAAUUGAUGGACUGAUCAUACCAUCCAUUAGCCCUUGUGCAGUUCCAGCCUUAUUGGUACCCAAAAAAAAUGGUGAGUGGAGAAUGUGUGUUGAUUGCAGAGCUAUCAACAAAAUCACAGUGAAAUAUAGAUUUCCUAUACCAAGGUUGGAGGAGUUGUUGGAUGUGUUGCUAGGAUCUAAAUAUUUUACAAAAUUAGAUAUAAAAAGUAGUUAUCAUCAAAUAAGGAUAAAAGAAGGGGAUGAGUGGAAAACUGCCUUCAAAACCAGCAAGGGGAUUAUAUGAGUGCCUAGUCAUGCCCUUUGGCAUGUCCAAUGCCCCCUCCACUUUUAUGAGAUUAAUGACAGAAGUCCUAAAGCCUUUAAUUAACAAAACGGUGGUGGUUUACUUUGAUGAUAUAUUAAUAUACAGAAAAGAUAAAGAAACACAUAUUGAGGAUAUAAGCAAAGUAUUACAGUUACUGGAUGAAAAUCAUUUGAAAUUGAAUUUACAAAAAUGUGAUUUUAUGGUUCAUGAAGUGCAUUUUUUGGGAUAUAUAGUUGGUGCUAGUGGACUGAAAGUGGAUCCUGCGAAAACAGAAGCAUUGAGAAGCUGGCUGUCUCCAACCAAUGUAACUGAAGUAAGGAGUUUCUUGGGGUUGGCCUCUUUUUAUAGGAGGUUCAUCAGGGACUUUAGCACCUUAGCUGCUCUAAUAUCAGACUGUCUGAAAAAGGGAGCAUUUUAGUGGACAAAAGAGGCAGAACAAGCCUUUAGAAAAUUGAAAGAGAAAUUACAGAAAACACCAGUACUGAGCCUGCCAGAUUUUUUCAAAAUAUUUGAAGUUGAGUGUGAUGCUACUAGCAUAAUGGGAGUAGGGACUGUUUUAACUCAGGAAGGACACCCAGUGGCCUUCCACAGUGAGAAAUUAUCUGUGGGAAGGAGGAAUUGGACCACCUAUGAACAAGAACUGUAUGCAGUGGUCAGAGCAUGCAAGACAUGGGAACCCUAUCUAUUGCAGAAUGAGUUUGUUAUAAAGACUGAUCACAUGGCACUUAAACAAGUCAAUAACUCUAAGGGAACAAAUAGAAUGCAUGCAAGGUGGAUUUCAUUUUUACAGAGGUUUCACUUCACACUGAAGCAUAGAACAGGAAAUAGCAACAGAGUGGCAGAUGCCUUAAGUAGAAAGAACAAUUUGCUAACUAUCUUAAGAGCUAAGAUAGUAGAGUUUGGAAAAAUAAAAAAAUUGUAUGAGAAGGAUGUUGACUUAUGUGACAAUGGAGAAACAGGGGGGAAUUAUAGACUGCAGGAAGGCUUUCUUUUUAAAAAAAAAACAGAUUGUGUUUUCCAGCUGAUCCACUCAGAAGGCAGUUAAUUGAGAAUUUAUAUUCAGGGGGGUUGGCAGGGCAUUUGGGCAGAGAUAAGGUGAUUGCAGAGUUGAAAAACAGAUUCUACUGGCCCAAAAUGAGUGAGCAAGCAGAACAGUUAGUACAAAGCUGCCAAGUCUGUCAAGAAGCAAAGGGGACUAAACAAAAUACAGGAUUAUAUAUACCUUUACCAGUACCAACUGAGCCUUGGACAGAGAGCUAUAAAUGGAUUUUAUUCUUGGGACUACCAAAAACAAAAACUGGAUUUGAUUCCAUAUUUGUAGUAGUCGAUAGGUUUUCGAAAAUGUCACACUUCUUACCUUGCAAAAAGAGCAAUGAUGCAGUAUAUGUGGUACAAUUAUUUUUUAAAGAAAUUGUGAGACUACAUGGAGUUCCCCAAAGCAUAGUGUCAGACAGAGAUACCAAAUAACAUGGUAAACAGGUUAACAGGAUUGAACCCAUUCAUUGCAGCUUAUGGACAUCAACCAAAACAAGCAAUAGAUAUUUCUUAUGUUCCCUGCAGCCAGCCAGCAAUAAAUGAAAUGAUAGAAAAAAAUAAAGAAAUUUACAAGAAAGUGGAGGAGGCACUGACUGAAGCAAACAGAAAAUACAAGCUUCAUUCAGACAAGAAGAAAAGACAUCAGGAAUUCUUUAUUGGGGAGAUGGUAAUGGUUCAUAUCAGCAAAGAAAGAACACCGUCUGGAACAUAUUCUAAGCUGAAGGCCAGAAAUCAUGGACCAUUCAAAUUACUGAAAAAAAUCAAUGAUAAUGCCCGUCAUUGACCUACCAGACAGAUACAAUAUGUCAAAGUCUUUCAAUGUCUGUGAUAUUAGAAAGUACUACCCUGAACAGCAGCAAGAUAAUCAAUUGGGGUCAAUUGAUCCUAUAGAAGGGGCGCAUGAUGCAAUAUAAAGUGGUCUUAGUUAUGCAUCCAAGGACUUAACUGGAAAUGACCAAGUGGAAGGUAAUUGGCUUGACCAAGGUCAAGCCAAUUCAUAUCAUUUCUAGGGAAUAUUUAACUCACAUCAUUGGGUUGCUCAUUACCAAUAAUGUGAGUAUAAAUACAACUGGCCCUUGAGAGGAAGAUCAGUUUAGAAUAUUGUGCAAACAAGGUAUUACCUUAAUUACUCCUCUCUCUCGUUGCUGAAUAUCUUCUACUUUUUCUUGCUUUUCUUACCACUACCUUCACUAUUAUCCACUGUUCUUAGAUCUAGAUCACAAACUUGGUGGAUUCCAAGCCCCGAUCUGGUCAUUGUGAGGAAGAUAUCCAUCUCUAUCACUGUUUUCGUUUGUCUACUGCAUUGGAGAGUUUCCACCUACAUCAUAUAUUCACUAUAUUGGUAGCGGGUAACAAACCGACUCAAUUCAAUUAUGAUGGUUGUUGCAGUCCCACAUUUUAGUCUGUUCUACUCUGUUCUCAGUAGAUUAACUUUUGCCUUGACUUUUUUAUUUGUUCUCUUUCAAAUUUAUUAACAAUGACGAUGCUUGAGUUCAUUUUUCAAAUUAUGUUUUGCUUUUGCAUAAUAAAGAUAUAAUAUCUUAUUUGCAUGUUUUACAACAUAUUUUUUGCGUAUAUAUAUUUAUUAUUUAGCAUUUUAGCUUUAUAUUUUUCAACAAUUCAUCAUGACAAUAAUUAUUGCCAUUUGCAAGCUGUGGAAGUAUUGAUCAGUUUUAAAUUUAUAUGUUCAUACAAUUUCAUCUGUGUCAGGUGUUAUACAAGCAUAAAAUUAUUGUCUUUGGGGGCUUCUACGAUACUCUUAGAGAAGUGAGGUUGUUUUUGCCAUUAUUACUUCAGGAAGUCAUUUUUCUAGCAUACUCUUUUUCUAGCAUACUUUAUGUUCACGUCUUUUUCCCCCUAUUGAAGUAGUGAAAUUCUGACAGUAGAAGAAUCGAUUGAAGAAGAUCAGUAAAUUCUUCUUUAAUAGUAGUAACAAUGAAUUGUUCUCCUUAACUUGGAAUCCACCAGGGAAGGAGAAUGAUCAGAUCUGAUCACAUCUUUUGAUAUAAAACAAAGAUGAAAUAGAAGAAUAACAACAAGUAGAAUUCCAGGUGGAGGGAAAAGAUUACUUCUGGUAAAGCAAAAUGAUAAAAAAUUCCCUCUUUCCUUGGGUGCACUGAGUAUUUAUACCCACAAUGUGGCUGAUUGAUAAUUCUACAUUGUCAGUUAAAAAGGCUCAGGUAUUGAGCAUGGUGGAUCUGCUAUGACUCUCUAAGCCUUACACUUGAAAUGAUUUCUAUAAACUUGAUUAAAUGGAGAACUAAGAUUUAAGUUUCUCUGCAUCACCUGUACCAUAUUUUCAAAUAGCGUUUUGCCUUAGCCGGAUCUGAGUAUGGAUCUGCUCGAAUAUCAUUAAUUUUUUUUAAUCUGUUUUAAAAAUAGAUCAGGGCUCCCAACGGUCAUACUCUCCUUCUUCCUCCACCAGUCAUCUUUUUUCCAUUGGCUAGGCUUCCUCCCGGCGAGCUCCGACCUGCGACCUUCUUCUCUGGUGACCUCAGGUGACAUCCAGGGAACAGUUUUUUCCGACCAGAACUUUCAUUUUUGUAGGAACAUCAUUUCCUUGAGUUUUUCUGUUUUUUGUAACUACUAUUAUAUAUAUGAGGGUUAUUUUUGGGUAGCCCCUUAAACUAAUUUGUGAAGAUGCCCCUUACAUUGAGUUCACAUACAUGUAUUUACAUUUUACAAGUUGAAUAUUGCAAAGAAAAUAAAAAUAGGGUAAACGCUAUAACACUCCUAUAGCCGUUAAACCUGUAAUCUGGAAUAGCUCUACCAACGACUGCUGUGCCGCUAUUUGCUAUUUAGAAAUUAGAAGUAUGACCUAUACCACUUGAAUAUUAUCUGAUCCUCUUUCUCUUACAAAGAGAUUUAUAUUUGUUACUUUUUAGUUAGGUGUCUCAUUUCAGUCUCUCUCUCUAGGUAUUACAAUGACUUGUUUGUAUUCGAUUUGGAUCUCUUCAAGGUAAAUAUUUUAGAUGAUUUUUUGGAAAUCUUCAAUAUUUCAUAUGUAUCUGAAUGUUUUAUGGUUGAACUUUCACUUGCAGUGGCAAGAAAUAAAACCCAAGCUUGGGUGUAUGUGGCCAACUCCAAGGAGUGCUUUUCAGCUCUCUGUUUUUCAAGAUGAGGUAGCUAGAACCUUCAUACUUUCAUUAUUUUUUAUUUUUCACUUCCUCCAUUUAUUUCUGACUUCUGAUUGAUUGUAAAUCAUAAUUGAAUAAAUUGUCAUUUUUUUUUUACUACACUUUCUUAUUUUAUCAUUUUUAUGUAGUCUAUUUUUGAAGCAGAAUAUAAUAACUUAUGUCACAUUUUAUUUUCUCAGUUCUUCUUCUUCUGGAUUUGUAUUCUGCAGAUUUUGUUAUACGGUGGAUAUUCUAAAGUUGUCUCGUCUGCUACUAAUAGUUCUGAAAAGGGAAUCGUUCAUUCAGAUAUGUGGUCUCUUGAUCCUAGGACUUGGGAAUGGAGCAAGGUUUGUUAUGUGGUGGAACAUUUAAUUCACUGACAAUUGACAGAUAUUCGUCGCUAUGGAAUUUUUGAGAUUUACACCUAAUUAUUCUGUAAACAGGUUAAGAAAGGUGGAAUGCCACCUGGACCUCGUGCUGGGUUUUCUAUGUGCUUGCACAAGAAAAGAGCUGUAUUAUUUGGAGGUGUUGUUGAUAAAGAAGUAGAGGGUAAUUCUACACUUAUAUACUUCCAGGAUAUUUCUUUUCAUUUUUUUUGUUGUAAUAAAGAUUGAAAGGCCAGGAUAUAUAUAUAUUUAAAUUAUAGGUAGUAUUAGGGAUGACAUUUUUGGCUUUGUGAUUCUCAUUUAAUGGUUGAAGUACUUUUGAAAUAAUACUAGUUGUUUCAAAAUUCACACUUUGAUGGUAAUCUCAAGGCUUAAAUCACCAUGUUGAGUGUGAUAAUUAACCUUGCUUUUAUCAACAUGGACAAAAUAUCUUUGAAGUGGAAUUGAUUUUUUGAAUAAAAUAACUUUAAUUAUUAUUCAUGUUUGUUUAUUUUAGGUGAUGUUCUGCUCAGCUUAUUUCUGAAUGAGCUCUAUGGUUUCCAACUAGACUGUCACCGUUGGUAUAUUCUGUCGCUUAUACUUAUUUAAUUUCUUUUCUUUUUGGGUAACUUUUAUCCAAAUAAAAGCAUUUCAGUCAAGUUUCAAUAUUAUGUUUGCUCUAUAUUCUGUUUUGAGAGUCCAAUAUUAAAUCUUUAAAUAUCAUUUAUUAGCCUAAAAUAUAUAUGUAUGUUUUACAAUUUUCAUAAAUUUAUAGUUUACAGACACUAUUGGCUACACUAGAGGGUAAUACAAGAAGUUAAUCUUCAAUAAAGUUUUUUUUAAAUAAAUUUCUUGGAAUUUAUAACUUUAUAAAUUUUAUAACAUAUAUCAAAUGAAUAGCUUGACUACUUCUGCUUAUAAUACUAAAUAUUGGUUCCUGUAGACUAAUUUUUAUUUUAUUUGUAUAGGUACCCUUUGGAGCUAAGAAAGGAUAAACCAAGUAAAGACAAGGUGUGUGUGUGCAAAUAUAGUCGUAAUUUAUUUCUAAUUUUCUAUGGUUGUAUAAUUACGGAUUGCAUAUUUACAGGGAAGAAAUGCCUUUGUAAUAUUAAAUUCAGCAGUUUACUGUUUGUAAUCUCAUCAUUCUGGAGUCUGGACAAUAGUUUUCAGAAAAAGGUUUUGCUAAUUUUUUUCUUGUUGAAUUUCUUUUUUAAGUCAAAAGGAGGCAAGAAAUCAGAAAGCAUUUCCAAUGAAGUCGACAGUGAAAAUGUCACAAAUCGUGACAAAAAUGAGAUCAUUCCUAAAUCUGUAGGUGGCCAUGAUAGUAUUAUUGAAGUUACUCAUUCUAUGAGCCAGGAUCUUUCUAUCAAUGAUUGUGUAGUUACUGAUAGAAAUACAGUUCAAAUAAAUGGAAAUUUUAAACUCCAAGUGUGCUCAUCAAAUGAGGUCAGUUGCAGUAAAGUUUAAUGCCAUUUUAUUACUGGUGUAUUACUCUAUCAUAACAAUUCAAUUUUAGGCAGUGAAACCUUGUGGACGUAUCAAUUCUUGUAUGGUCGUUGGAAGAGAUACAUUAUAUCUUUAUGGAGGUAUGAUGGAAAUCAAAGAUCAAGAAAUCACACUUGAUGAUCUUUAUAUGUUAAAUCUUAGUAAACUUGACGAAUGGAAGUGUAUCAUACCGGUAUAUUUAAAUUUCAGUCUUUCAUUUGCUACUUUAAAGAUAUUACCCAUGAUUGCUAUUUUUUGCUAUUUCAAGUUUAAAAUGCUUAUUUGAAUUCAUUGCAUUUCAACCAGGCUUCGGUAUCUGAAUGGGUAGAAGCUUCUGAUGAGGAUGAAGACGAUGACAGUGAUGCUGACGACGAGGAUAGCUACAGUGGAAGCAACAAUGAAGAGUCGGAUGAUGAUGCAAAUGAGGUAAUGAGUAUAUGCUGUUGGUGUUUACGUGGUUUUGAAAACAUCGUUUUAUUAAGUUAACAAGCACUCUCUCCAGUUUCAAUAUUGAAUAUUAUUCCUUUUGAGAUUUUUUUCCACUUUAUUUCUUUUGGAGGUUUGUUCAUUUCUAACUCAUUUAAAUGUUAUCUUUGUGAACUUCUUAGGGUGGUGAUGUUGAAAGUGCUGUAGCCUUACUCAAAGGUGAGAAAAAGAGUCUACGCAGAAAAGAGAAGAAGGCCAGGAUAGAGCAAAUAAGAGCUACACUUGGUCUUUCGGAUUCCCAAAGGACUCCUGUGGUAACAUUAAUAACGAUCUGUCCUUUUGGAUUUAUCUGUCUAUUCAUGCAAUUGAUUUUUUAAAAUAUUACUAUGUUUCAUUGUAGCCAGGAGAAUCUCUGAAAGAUUUUUACAAGAGGACAAGUUCGUAUUGGCAAAUGGCGGCAUAUGAACACACUCAACAUACCGGAAAGGUUAUUAUUAUUCUUUAAAAUCAUAAUAAUAUGUCGGUGUCUCUCCUGGUAGUAACAUUACACAUGCAGUUGUUUACUGUUUUAUAAUAUGAAGUCUUAAUUUACCUUCUUGCCCGUGAUUUUAUAUUUCUAUUUUGCUCCCAUUUAUAUUCAAAUAUUGGCCACAAUCUAUUUAGGAACUGCGCAAGGAUGGUUUUGAUCUUGCCGAGUAUCGUUUCAAGGAAUUGAAACCUAUACUUGAUGAGGUCAGUCAGUCAGUCGGUCUUUAAAUCUAUGCAUGAUUUCAAAUACGUAUUUUUGUGACAGUAUCUAACUCUGUUCUUACUGUUUGUUUGUGUGUAUGUAUUAUAUUAUAUUCAUCAGCUGGCCAUACUGGAAGCUGAACAGAAGGUUGAAGAGGAAGAAAUAGGUGAAAGUAGUAGUAGAAAAAGAGGUGGGGGUGAUAAGAAAACCAAGCGUUAAUCAUUUUAGAAUUAAAUGGUGUGUUUGAAUUUAAAACACCCCCAUUUAUAUUUCAGUUUAUUGGUUGAAUAUUUUUUAAAAUUUUGGUUGUCUAAUUGUCUUGUGUUUUCAUCAUUCUAUUAGCUACCUGUCUGCAAAUUAUAUGAAAAGUUUAUGUAAUUUCAUCAUUCUAUUGGGUCUUGUAUUUUAAGCAAGUUGCUCUAAGUUUUCGAAAUUUAAUCCAAAAAAUUAAAAAUAAUUUGGAGAUGGCCAAAGAAAGAAAUCUAUUAUUAGAACAUGGUUAUAAAAACAAUAAUGACCAUGAUAAUGACUAAAACAGGGAUUCUUGUAGUGUUUUAUUUUUACAUCCAAUUGAAGAGUUUUAGUUUUAACAGAAUGCUAGAUGAGAAAGGAGACGGAAAAGACAGGAUGAGUCUGGAGUCUGGACCGAACGAAAGCCUCUUUGGAUUAUAGAUUGAAAACUAUAUAGAGGGUAUUAGUUAGUUUUUGUUUGCAUUUUUCAAAUUUAAAGCGAAUGUAUUUAAAAAACAGUUGUUAAUAAUAAUAUAUGACAAAUAAAUGAUUGUCUCAGUUAAAUCUUUAUAUAAAUAUAUAAGUGUAUAAAUGAAAAUUACAAGCUAUAUGCCAACGAAUUCGAGUGACUCAUUUUUUUUGUAUCAUUUUCUAUUAUUUAAUCAACUAAAAUCGAAAAGUAAAUCUUAAAUUAUAACUACUUACCAAAUCAAUUUGCAUUAAUUAUGAAAUGUAUGGUGUGCGUUGAGAGUAAAUUUUUUAGUAGAUAUACUCGUCUAACUUGAAUGUCUUAUUUGUUAGCUUUGGCCAUGAAAAUAACAAGCUAUAUGCCAACAAAUUCGUUCAACCGUCAAACUCAAUAAUAAGGCUAUAAGAGCACAUGCGAGGGGGUAGAGUGAGAGGCGGAAGAGGACGACUGUUUUAUUUUUUUUGGGUGUCAUUUUCUAUUAUUUAAUAACGUAGGACCAGUGGAUCAGUGGUCACGUAACUCACGUUGCGUGGGUGGUUGGAAAUUAUAAUGAUCGAUGGUUUAAUUAUUGAUGCUGCUUCAUGUCAAUUUUUGGAUCAUUACGAAGGUGAGUCAUGUUCAAAAAAAAAACCUGUGGGUGAUGGUUGAUUGACUAUUCCUUUAAAUGGUUCUUUAGAGGGGUAGGCGUGACGAACUCGAUCCGAACAUGUCGGGUUCGGUGGAUAUUUUCGACCAUAAAACCCGGCGAACUCGAAUUUUUUUAACCCUUUUAGGUUUGGGUUUAAAUUUUUUAUAAAAAAAACCUUAAAAUAUAAAUAAUUAUAUAAAUAAAAUUUUAUUGUAUAUAAAAUAUUUUAUUAAAAUUUAAUAUACACAUUUAUUAAAAUUUUCUUCUUCUUUUAAAAUUUAAACCCUAAUACUAUUAUUAUUUUCUUAUAUAUUCUCUUCCAUUUUCAUCUUUUCUCUUCUCACCGUCGUUUUCGCCUAAUAAUUAUUUAAUAUUUUAAAAAUAUCAAACCCGGACCCGACAUCCAAAUCGAUUUCUGGUUAUAUAAUUUUAGAUGUUCCCAAGUUUUAACCCGAACCCGAUUUCAAAACUCGAUUUCGGAUCAGGACAAAUCCGAGUCAAAUCUAACCCAUAUCCAUUCCUAGUUCAUUAUUCAUAGCUCACAUUUAUUUAAUCUUAUUUAAUCAUAUAUCGGAAGGUACUUCUUUACAAUUGCAUCCUUAUCCAAAUUUGCGUUGGUGGUUGGAAAUUAUAAUGGAUAAUAAAAAUAAUAUUCCCUAAAUUCAAUUAGAUCCUUAUCCUAAUUUAAAUCAGUUUAUUUCAAUCAUUUAUCAUCAUAUCAAUUUUAUUUUUUACAUUGCAUCAACGGACCAAAUUAAACGUUUCCAAUUAUAAAGAAAGAUCAAAUUCGACCAAGUUUCCGAACAUUGUCAUUCUACCUUUCAAGAUUUCUUCUCCGCAACCAAUCGAAGCCAUGGAAUCGGUGCCAAUAUCAUUUAUUCUGAAAGAGGCCUCAAAACAUCUGAUCAACGUUCUGGGGACGGAAUUCACACUCAUAAAAAAUACUCCGGGCGAAUUGGAAAAACUGAAAAGAUUCAAGACAAUCAUCGUCACUGUUCAACGAGACGUCGCCGGUCGGGAAUUAAGCCAACAAGAUGUUGUCUGGCUGGAUGAGAUGAUAGAUGCUGCGUAUGAUAUCGAGGAUAUCGUAGAUCUGUCCAGUACAAAGAUUCUUCAACUGAGAAGCAACAACAACGAGGAAUCAACUUGUUGUAUCCAUUGGGUAAUUGAUUUCUUCUCUUGCACCUAUAAUACUCUUAUUUUUCGCCACGAAAUAGGAACUAGGGUGCAAAAUACAUUCGUUAGAUUGGCUAAUAUUGCGGAAGAGAAGAAAUACCAUCUUACUCAUAGUGGGAGGGAUGGAGUGGAAAAUCUGAGUACAAAGAUGCCAGAGACCAUUUCUGAAAUGGGUGAGGAUGUUGUACUGGGAAGAGAUCGUGAUCUCAAAAUUAUACUUGAACAAUUAUUGUUCAAAGAGAAAACAAACAUUGAUGUGCUUGUUUUAGUCGGAAUGGGUGGUGUUGGGAAGACCACACUUGCAAAACUCGUGUACAAUGAUAGCCAAGUAGAUGCUCUCUUUGGUGAAAGAAAGCUUUGGGUUUGCGUAUCAGAAAUUUUUGACUCGUCGAAAAUUAUCAAACUUGUUAUUGAGCAAAUAGAUGGAAACCCGUGUAAACUCGAAGGAUUGCAAGCGUUGAGCAAGAAAUUGAAAGAGCUUUUAGAAACAAACAUGUAUUUAUUAGUUUUGGACGAUGUUUGGACUAAUUCAAGUUUAACUUGUGAUUCUUGGUCGAUUAUGAAAUCAUUGUUUCUUAAUUGUAAGAUUCUGGUAACAACUCGUGAGGAGAAUGUAAUAUCUGUGAUUUUACCAGAACCUUACAUGCAUCGUGUGGGAUGUCUACCUGAGGAUGCUUCAUGGUCAUUGUUCAAGAAUAUUGCAUUUUCCAAUGGUAACGUUCCAGAGGAAUUGAAAGAUAUCAGCAAAAGUAUUGUGAAAAAAUGCAAAGGUGUACCUUUAGCUGUGAGGGUUCUUGGUAGCAUGAUGCGUAACCAAAAUUUUACUUACUGGAAAGAGAUUGAGAAAAACAAUAUUCUUGAUCUUAAUAUUGAAGGUGAAAAUAGAAUAUCCAAGAUUCUAAAAUUCAGCUAUCAUAAUCUUCCUUUAAAGUCAAAGUUUUGCUUUGUCGAUCUACUGUUCUAUUUUCCCCAAAGAUUCAGUUAUGAAGAAAAUAAAAUUGAUCCAACAAUGGGCUGGCAAUGGUUUUAUUUCGCUGAACGAGGGAAAUAAGAUUUUCGAAGAUUUAUUGUCAAGAUGUUUCUUCCAAGAUGUCGAGAAAGAUGAUUACGGCAGCAUUACAAUAUUUAAGAUGCAUGAUUUAAUCCAUGACCUUGCUGAAUCGAUUGCUAAGUCUCUGCAAUGUGGAAUCUUCGAUGAUAGAAUUCAAGAUAGAAAUUUAUCGGAUAGAAAACAAGUUCGUUAUUUAUCGAUAAUAUUAAACAUGGGAGAAGGAGAAGAAUUUUCUUAUUCAGAUAUUUCGAGUAAAUUACGAACAUUGCAGUUGUUAACUUCUACAUUAGUAACUAUGACAUUUCUGGAUAAUUGCUUCACCAAGUUCAAAUUCUUACGGGUUUUGGUUUGUAGUUAUCAGUAUGGUUUUGAAGAGAUUCCAUCUUCCAUCGACAACCUCAAGCUUCUGAGAUAUGUUGACUUCUGUCAUACAGGUAUAACACGACUCCCAGAAACGGUCUGCAACCUUCAAAAUUUACAGACGUUGAAACUCAACAAUUGUCGAGAUCUUAUUGUUUUGUCAAAGAAGCUGGGAAAAUUAUCCGAGUUAAGGUAUUUGGAAAAUGAUGAUUGUAUAAGUUUGGAUUCAAUGCCUGUUGGGAUGGAUCGUUUGAGUCUUUUGCAGACAUUGAAUACUUUUGUAGUAAAUGAUGGAGGAAAAAAUUUAAAUGAAUUACGACAUCUGGAUCAUCUAGAAGGAAGUCUUUGUAUAAAACAUCUUGACAGAAUUCAAAAUGUUGUUUUGGAAAAUGGAAUACUAAAUAGAAAGAGCAAUCUUGUAUCAUUGGACCUGAUAUGGGGAUUAUGGAUACAAUCUAAAAGAAGGGAUUAUGGAAAAGUGUUAGAAGCUUUACAACCACAUCCCAAUUUGAAAUAUUUAAAUAUAAAUGGGUUUGAUGGAUUCUUCAUUCCCUUAGACAUGAGUUGUCUAAAAUCCCUUACAUAUUUAGUGAUUUUACAUUGUAAAAACCUUACAUGUCUUCCAAACAACAUAGGUUCUCUUAAAUCCCUUACACAUUUAGAGAUUUAUUAUUGUCCAAAUGUCACCUCUCUUCCCAACGACAUGAGUUGUCUAAAAUCCCUUACACAUUUAGUGAUUUUACAUUGUAAAAACCUUACAUGUUUUCCAAACAACAUAGGUUCUCUUAAAUCCCUUACACAUUUAGAUAUUUCAUGUUGUGAAAACCUUACAUGUCUUCCAAACAACAUGGGUUCUCUUAAAUCCCUUACACAUUUAGAGAUUUCAGGUUGUAAAAACCUUACAUGUCUUCCAGACAACAUGGGUUCUCUUAAAUCCCUUACAUAUUUAAAGAUUUUAAGAUGUAAAAACCUUACAUGUCUUCCAAACAGCAUGGGUUCUCUUAAAUCCCUUACAUAUUUAAAGAUUUUAAGAUGUAAAAACCUUACAUGUCUUCCAAACAGCAUGUGUUCUCUUAAAUCCCUUACAUAUUUAGAGAUUAAAUUUUGUAAAAACCUUACAUGUCUUCCAAACAACAUGGGUUCUUUUAAAUCCCUUACACAUUUAGUGAUUUAUUAUUGUCCAAAUCUCACCUCUCUUCCCAACGACAUGGGUUCUCUUAAAUCCCUUACACAUUUAAAGAUUUCAUCUUGUAAAAAGCUCACAUGUCUUCCAAACAACAUGGGUUCUCUUAAAUCCCUUAUACAUUUACAGAUUUCAUAUUGUGAAAACCUUUCAUGUCUUCCAAACAACAUGGGUUCUCUUAAAUCCCUUACACAUUUAGAAAUUUCAAAUUGUAAAAACCUUACAUGUCUUCCAAACAACAUGGGUUCUCUUAAAUCCCUUACACAUUUAGAGAUUUCAAAUUGUUAAAACCUCAUAUGUCUUCCAAACAAUAUGGGUUCUCUUAAAUCCCUUACACAUUUAGAGAUUUCAUUUUGUGAAAACCUUACAUGUCUUCCAAACAACAUGGGUUGUCUCCAAUCCCUUACACCUUUAACAAUUGAAUCUUGUCCAAGUUUGGUUGAUAAUUCUUUUGCCCUGGAA
rnacentral:lncRNA from 1 species